UACGUAGGGGUCGAGCGUUGUCCGGAGUUACUGGGCGUAAAGCGUGCGCAGGCGGUUUUGUAAGUCAGAGGUGAAAUCCCCGAGCUCAACUUGGGAAUUGCAGUGGAUACUGGCAGGCUGGAGUAUGGUAGAGGAAGGUGGAAUUCCCGGUGUAGCAGUGAAAUGCGUAGAGAUCGGGAGGAACACCAGUGGCGAAGGCGGCCAUCUGGACCAAUACUGACGCUCAUGCACGAAAGCGUGGGGAGCAAACAGG
rnacentral:rRNA from 1 species